CCCAUUGAAGCCAACAACUGAAGCAACUUCAAACCUAAAGUCGGAAAUGAAAAAGCCGAUGAAUCAGAGAAGCAUGUUUCGGGACUAGCCCGGUCCCUGUUUCGGGAUCAAUCUCAGAAUGCAUUGUUGCGAUAGUUUGUUCGCAGUUCGUGGUUGUUGCCAUGGUGUGUGUUGCAGUGCAACGACAAAGGAGGAGACAACUCCACAAAAUGGUGAAGAUGAUCGAAGGGAUAAAUGAAGGGGAGAGACUCAUGGCAACACAAUCGGGAUUUGUAAAUCUGUAAAUGAAUGUUGUGUCACGAGGGAGGAGAGGCGAUGAGUGUAUUUCAAUUUUAAGUGAAGAAUAAUUUGGACAUUUUACUUUAAUUGUUUGGUAUAGAAGAAAACCAU